UUUGCUGUAAGACACUGAGCUGGGAAGCAGCCAUUUGACAAAAGAAUGAAAGAACGACUCGAACCCAAAGAUUCAAGAGAUGAAUUAAUAAAUUCUGUUUCCUGUACAGACUGCAUAGCUUCAGUUUAUGGGGAUGUGACAUGACAAAAGAACAAACGGUUCAGGUUGGGAAACUAACAGUCUGCGUAACCUGAAACAAUUAAUUAAUCAUUUCUGUUUCUUAUAAUUAGGCCUCUGGCCUAGUUUGGCUAUUAUAGUUUUUUUGUUUGUUUGUUUGUUUCUUAUUCGAAAUGAUGCAUAAGUAGCCUAGAUGUGUUGCAGGAUUAACAUGUAACAUUUUAAUCACAUUCUGCUGAAAUGAAUGAAAUUACAUAAAGGCAGGGCAGGGUUGGUGAUUUGGUUCAAAAACAUUUUGUGUUUGCAUAUCCCAAACCUUAUCCUUCCCCUUACACUAAUGCAAAUACAAUAAUCAUCGUUGUUCAGGGUGAGAAAAAAUUACCCUGUGUUUAUGUGCACAUGUGCAGUAAGCCCCGGUAGGACAAUCUGAUGGAAGGAUAGAAUGUCAGGACACCAGAACAGGCAGCAUUACCAUGAAGCUGAAUGCUGUGGCUUGUUUUGAGCCUGUGUGAUGUGUCCGUGUGUGCAUGAUCUGGUGUUGUGUUGGCCGGUGAGUCAGUGAAUCAGCCUCUGACCCUGCAGGAAGACUGAGCCUGUAAUAGGCUGUGUGUGUUGCUUUGGUUAAUCUGCAUCAGUGGCUUUUCUCUCUUCCAGGCGGAGCUCCAGAGGUCUUGCUCUCAGCACGGCAAACACAGAGGAGCAGAGUGGUGCCAGCUGCUGUGCCCCUGCAGUACAUACCCUCCUGUACCUCCUCCUCCACCUCCUCCUCCUCCACCACGAGGACUGACCGCUGCGGCUCCGGAGGCUUCCGCUCCUCUGCCGAGGCCCUGGUGGAUGGAGAUCAUCAUGGUUGGGACAAUAGGAAUUGCUUUGGCUGUCUUUCUGUUGCUGAUUGUCAUUAUCUGCUACAAGACCAUAAAAAGGUAGGUAGCGCUAUCACAGAGUUUUCACUUUUGGUGCUAAAUAAUGUUGUGAGAUUUGGUUUAUGUCACUUGUGCAUAUGAAUGUCAUAUGACUCCUUUCUCCUUUUAUUUUGAAGCACUAGCUAAGGAAUUUUACCUUAACAGUAAAGAACAAUCAAGGAAGAUUUUUGUUGUUAUGCAAGAGGUUAUGCAAAUUGGAGGGAGUUUGUC
ensembl:lncRNA